UACGUAGGGCGCAAGCGUUGUCCGGAAUUAUUGGGCGUAAAGGGCUCGUAGGCGGUCUGUCGCGUCGGGAGUGAAAACUCAGGGCUUAACCCUGAGCCUGCUUCCGAUACGGGCAGACUAGAGGUAUGCAGGGGAGAACGGAAUUCCUGGUGUAGCGGUGGAAUGCGCAGAUAUCAGGAGGAACACCGGUGGCGAAGGCGGGUCUCUGGGCCGUAACUGACGCUGAGGAGCGAAAGCGUGGGGAGCGAACAGG
rnacentral:rRNA from 1 species